rnacentral:rRNA from 1 species
AGCGAACGCUGGCGGCAGGCUUAACACAUGCAAGUCGAGCGGGCACUUUCGGGUGUCAGCGGCGGACGGGUGAGUAACGCGUGGGAACGUGCCCUCUGGUUCGGAAUAACUCAGGGAAACUUGAGCUAAUACCGGAUACGCCCUUUUGGGGAAAGGCUUGCUGCCGGAGGAUCGGCCCGCGUCUGAUUAGCUAGUUGGUGAGGUAACGGCUCACCAAGGCGACGAUCAGUAGCUGGGCUGAGAGGAUGAUCAGCCACACUGGGACUGAGACACGGCCCAGACUCCUACGGGAGGCAGCAGUGGGGAAUAUUGGACAAUGGGCGCAAGCCUGAUCCAGCCAUGCCGCGUGAGUGAUGAAGGCCGUAGGGUUGUAAAGCUCUUUUAUCCGGGACGAUAAUGACGGUACCGGAGGAAUAAGCCCCGGCUAACUUCGUG